GGUGAGGUGUCCGAGUGGCUAAAGGAGCACGCCUGGAAAGUGUGUAUACGGCAACGUAUCGGGGGUUCGAAUCCCCCCCUCACCGCCA
rnacentral:tRNA from 1 species